rnacentral:lncRNA from 1 species
UUGCUUGGUGGUAUACGGCUGGGAUUAAAUUUAUAUUUAGCUCAGUUGGGUAUUAUCAAUGUGACCGUUUGAAAAUGCUGUUUUGUUUGUACUACGCGUAAUAGGCUGGUUUCUCCUAGCAUCAAAUAGAAGUCUCGCAAGCUUAGAUGCCUGAAGUCUGUUGAACAAUAUUUUAUUUUAUCUUGCGAUCCGCCUGUGGAUCUUUUACUUUCCGUUUGUAAUACUUGGAUAUUACUUCAUAUCGGAUUGUAAUAUAUU